GUUGAACGCUGGCGGCAUGCCUAAUACAUGCAAGUCGAGCGGAGCGGGGACGGGUGAGUAACACGUGGAUACCCACCUAUACGCAUGGGUUAACUUCGGGAAACCGGAGCUAAACCGGAUACUAUAUGGUGGAUCCCCGCUGCAUUAGCUAGUUGGUACGGAACCGGCUUACCAAGGCAACGUUGCCUAGCCGACCUGAGAGGGUGAUCGGCCACACUGGAACUGAGACACGGUCCAGACUCCUACGGGAGGCAGCAGUAGGGAAUCUUCGGCAAUGGGCGAAAGCCUGACGGAGCAACGCCGCGUGAGUGAUGAAGGUCUUCGGAUCGUAAAACUCUGUUAUUAGGGAAGCGGUACCUAACCAGAAAGCCACGGCUAACUACGUGCCAGCAGCCGCGGUAAUAC
rnacentral:rRNA from 1 species